GGAGGUGGCUGGGGCCCGGUGGCUCCCGCGGUCUUCAAAACCGUUGUGCCGCUUCACGGCGGCGGGUGGGUUCGACUCCCAUGCACCUCCGCCA
rnacentral:tRNA from 2 species